GGAGGUAUAGCUCAAGUGGUAGGGCACAUGCCUAGCGUGCAUGAGGCCCUGGGUUCAAUCCCCAGUACCUCCA
rnacentral:tRNA from 1 species